UGCUCUUCUGAUCUGAUAACUCAUCAUAAAAAGGAGAUUGAGCGUCUGCAGAAAGAAAUUGAGCGGCACAAGCAGAACAUCAAGAAACUGAAAGAUCAUG